UUUUUUAUAAUUAAUAAUUUAUUUAUUAUUUAUUUUUAUGUAAUAUUUUGAUGUUAAUUAAUUAGAUAAUAUAAUUUUAAUUUCAAAUUAUAACUUUUAUUUCUCUUGUUGUCCAAUUUAACCAUCCAAACACUAUUUAUCUUAUUCCUAGGAACAACCCAAUUUUCAUCCAAACGUAAAAUUGAUUUAAUUCCUGUUUAUACCUGAACUUGUACCUAUUCCUGGAAAAAUAGUUCUUACUUAUACACGAACCAAACACAGAACAUAAGUAGGUUCGGAGGUCACGGUCUUAUUUGGGACUGCAGAGUUCAGCACUGUUAAAUAAUUGUGGUUUCAGUA
rnacentral:lncRNA from 1 species